rnacentral:lncRNA from 1 species
CCUGGCCCUCCCGACAGCACCAGAAACGCCGCUCCGUUUACCCACAUUGCCCCUAUUUAAAAACAAAACAAAAAGCCCCACUCCACCAUCAGCCCUUCAGCAUCCAAGACACCAGGGAAGGACAGACAGUGGUGGGAGGACGCUCCAUAUGCCAGCGGUGUGAGCACUUCACAUAUUGCCCUUCGUUUUACUGAAGAUGAAGAGGGGCAGAAACUCCAAGCACACAAAAUGGAACUAGAAACGGACCCCACCUUGAAGACAUGUACAACCAGGAUAACAGCCUGCCAGGAGGCGGAACCAGGAAAAACGGAGUCUGGACAGAGUCAUCCAUGGGGCACACUGAAAACAGCCCCCAGAUGAGUUUAUUACACCCUCAGCUCUGAAUCACACUGUUGUCCUGGGCACGGCUCAAAUCCAACUCUACAGGGAGAACCUUGAGGUAUGGGAUGGUAUCUCCUCUGGCCACCAAGAGGAUCUGUAUGGCUUUGAGAACUCAGCUGGCAUUUAAAUGCUUCUGAGGGUUAGCCGGUAAGCCAACACGUUUUAAUUUGCUGUGGUCACUGUAGAUAAGCAUGAUAGAAUAUACUGAUUUUCAAAAAUUCGGGCAGCCCCGGUGGCACAGCGGUUUAGCGCCGCCUGCAGCCCGGGGUGUGA